rnacentral:rRNA from 1 species
GCCUACGGGGGGCAGCAGUGAGGAAUAUUGGUCAAUGGGAGAGAUCCUGAACCAGCCAAGCCGCGUGAGGGAAGACGGCCCUAUGGGUUGUAAACCUCUUUUGUCGGAGAACAAAACCCGGGACGUGUCCCGGACUGCGUGUAUCCGAAGAAAAAGCAUCGGCUAACUCCGUGCCAGCAGCCGCGGUAAUACGGAGGAUGCGAGCGUUAUCCGGAUUUAUUGGGUUUAAAGGGUGCGUAGGCGGUCCGUUAAGUCAGCGGUAAAAUUGCGGGGCUCAACCCGGUCGAGCCGUUGAACCUGGCAGA